rnacentral:tRNA from 1 species
GUUUUGGGACAGUGGUAGGAUUCUCGCUUUCCAUGCGAGAGGCCCAGGUUUGAUUCCUGGCCAAUGCA